rnacentral:lncRNA from 1 species
AGCACCUUGGUGAGUCUGCUGGGCUUGUAAAAUGGCGGGGAGUGGACCUGUUGGAAUUUUGUGAGAUCGGAUCAGGCCUCUGUAAUGAGGGCUUGCUGGCUUGGGCCCGUGAGGUGGGGUGGCCCGAAACUUGGGCCCAAAAGGGGCCUGUCUGGGGUCGAUGGAGGGUUGCUCGGUUGAGCUGCAGUGGCCGAAGACGAAAAGGAAUAAGGGGAAAAAAGGGGGGGGGGGGCGGCGGAAGGUGACAGGGGUUCGGAAUGGGGACGGCCGGCGGCGGCGCAGACGAAGCGGCAGGCGGGUGGCGGCAGAGCUGCGGUGACGACGGUGGCGCGUUGAGGUGGGGCGGCGUUGUGUGCGAGCGGAGGCGGAAACGGCGAGGCGGCGAGGGCGGUGCAGUAUGGGAGGUGGGUUGGCGACGGAUCUCGACGGCGGCGGGGUGGCGAGGCCGGAGGGGCGACGGCUGCGGCGGCUAGGGUGGAGCGACGCUUCACGGUCAGCGGCGAUGCUGCGAUCGGCCGCGGGGAAAGAGGCGCACGGCUUGGCGGCGCUGCGGCGACGGUGGGGCCGUGCUAAGCGGGCGGUGGCGACGGCGAAGUGGCGGCGGCGUAGGCGGUGGCGGAGAAGCGACGGCGGACGCAGUGAUGCGGCUUGGCAACGGCGGAAGAAGAAGCGGCGGCCGAUCGAGACGACGGACAGAGGUAAGGAUUUUCCCUUUUUUUUUUU